AAUGAUAAAUAUAGUAAUAGUAAUGAUUAGGACUUAGGAGUGAAAUUCAAAAAAAUAAAAGAAUUGACUAAAUUAUUGUUAGAGAAAUAUAUGGUAACAUAUUGUUAGUAUAAAUUUAAGAUAAGACCAAAAAAUAAUGAGUUAAAUGAAAGAGUCCAAAUAACUUUUAUAGGUAGAUUUUUUUAGUCUCCUUCCAUUUUAAUAGUAUUGAUAACAAUAUAAACACUUAGUUACCUAAGGAUUGAUCCCUAAAUAAAGAUUUUAAGGAUCAAAUCCUUAUAGACAUGGCAGCUUGGCAUUGACUCUUCUUCUUGUACAACGACGAAUCCAGAUUCUGUAAUGGAGAGAAGGAGCAGCCAUGGGAGAAGAAGAAGGAAACAAAGGAACUGCUGCUUCAUCAUCUUCGAGAUCUCCGCCGCAACACCACAGAGAAGGUGAAGUCGUUAGCUUCGCCGCCGUGCCUCCGCCUAACUCCGGACCCGCGUCAACCAUCUUCCGCCUUUUAUGCUCACGGUGGAAUCAAAUCCAAUAGCCUAUCGUUCUCCUCAUCUGCAUCAGGUUUCGUGUCACUACCACUCGCUGUAGAGAAGUAGCUACGCUCGUCGUUCGUACAGAUGGAAGCUGCUCGACAUGUUACUGGUUCACUUAUCAGACUUUGUUAAGUUUACUUUGUCUGCCUCGUUAAAAACCAUCAAGGAAAGGUAUGUAAAUCAUUGUGUAGACUUGUUUCUUGCCUACGCAUGUGUUCUGCUUUCCUUGUCACCUAUUACUCUGCUCUGUUAUGAUAUUUAGUGUUGUGCAUAGUCAUACAAUUUGUAAGAUGGGUCUUAUAAUGUGGAUGCUCUCUAUAAUCUUUAUACAUCAAACUUAAAAACCAAUGCUUUGUGAAUCAGACUCUGAUUGUGUUCAAUUGCUUCCAAGACCUUAGAAUAUAGGGAAGUCUCUAUCUUUAUGUUGAAUGAGUUAAAUAAAUUGUUACAUAUUUUACCAAAUAGGCAAGGAAAACCAUAAUGAACCAGAGAAAAAACUGGAAGCUUGUUCCUGUUAAUGAAAAUGCACAAAGGAAAAGGAAGCCAUAUCCUGCAGGUGAGAUGUCAUACUUUGAAUGUUGAGUAUUGUCUCUUUUGUGGGUGUGAUUUGUGGAGGUACUCUUACUUGUUUUAUCUCCAUCUUAGUUAGUUAUUUCAAAUUUCAUAUCAGACUCUCAACUAUUUGAGUCUCUGGUUUUACUUUCUAGGGUGAUUUGAAAACCUUUGCUGGUAUGAAGAGGGUGUGGCUUUCCCGAAAUUUUUCUUAUAUAUAUGAAGCCUUUUCUAACACCAACUUAGCCUUUUUCAUUCAGUCACUAUAUGUUCAUACUAUUGGUAAGUUUAGGUCUAUGUCUGAUAUAACUAAAGUUCUCUACUUUAAGCAUUCAUUAGCCUUCUCAAAGUCUCAACAUUGAGGAUGUCAAGAAUCAGAAAAUUCAAGAGUUGUGUUUUAUUCCUAAGAACUCCAAACUGGAGAACACCAUUGGAGAAAGAAUUUUGAUUAGGAUCCUUAACUAUUCAAAAAAAAAUUAGUUUAAUAAUGCUAAGAACUCUAAUGGUAGUAACACCAUUGGAGAUGCUCUUAGGGCAACAUUAUUGCAGUCUUUAGUUUGGUCCUUAAGAGGAGAGGGCCCACAAAAACACCAGAACGAAGGAGAAAGUCCCUAACUAAGAGACAUUUUGGUUUGGUCCAUGUACUGUUCGCGGGCCCCACUGAAACGUGGCGGCCCGCGAUUGGUUCAUUUUUAAUUUUUUUUUUAAAUCGGAUAAAAAUAAAAAUAAAAAGUUUUAGGACCAAUUGUUAAGGAUUCAGCAAUAAUGAUGCUCUUAGACUUUUUCAAGCGUGUUUUAUUAGCUACCUCCCUACGUUUAAGGGCGUCAAUCACUCUCUUAGCUUCUCGAAAUAUGUCAAUAUCGACAAGGUCCUGAAAAAAAUGAGACAUUUACUAUUUGGUAUUUCAUAGAGAUGCAGUACAAACCCAAAAAUCAUCUCCACUGCUUAUAAAAAAACACACGGAGACAUAUAUAUCAUGAUCAAGAUGCAAAGGAACAUAGUAUAUGAAACAUUAUUAAAAUAGAAUAUUAAUAAACAAAAUACUAUAAUAUAUAUUAUUCAAAUCCCCUAUAUAUUAAUUGAGAAGCAUUUGAAAAGAUGUAACCUCAAUUUUGUAUUAAUUAAAAAAGACCCCUUGCUUAUGUGGCACAUCUAAAUGCCUUCUAAAUCUAUUUUCUAAGAAUUCUAGAGCACCUAAUAUAAACUAUAGUUUAAUCUAAAGUUGUCCCAUUUUUCCAUAAGUAUAUAACACUAUAGAACAUUAUAUUAACCUAAAAUAUAAGAAGUAUAUAUUCUUUCCUUAAAUAAAAGCUACGGAAUUACCUAAUAUGAUUUACAUAUAUAAGGCAAUAAAUGAUUAUGAUUAAUAAAGAUUUGAUAACAAUUUUGCAUCUUUCUUCUUUUUUGUUUAAUUUUAUAUUAUUUAAAAAAUUAAACAAUCACAGUAACCAUAUAAUAAAAAUAAAUAGAUUUUCUCUUAUAUGUUAUAUUUUGAAUUUUUUAAAAUGAUUUUAAAUUACAAAAAUGAGAAAACUUUAUAUGUUAUAUAUUUUUUUUUAAACGGCUUUAAAGUACAAAAAUGAGGACACCUUAUAUGUUAUAUUUUUCUUAUAUGUUAUAUUUUGAAUUUUUUUAAAAUGACUUUAAAUUACAAAAAUGUAAGUUUUCCUAAAGUAUACGAUUAAAAACAUUAAAAUGACAUGUAUCAAUUCGAUGGUUGGUCUGAAAGCUUUCAAAACCAUAUGGAAGAUAAAAGUAAAAAUAGUUCAACUGUGGAAACAAUACUGUUCACUUUUUUCAAGAAUAUGUUCGAUGGAAAAAAUAAGGUUUUUAUGUCAUAAUUUGUUUAAUGUCCACUAGAGAACAUUAUACUAACCUAAAAUAUAAGAAGUGUGUAUUCUUUCCUUAAAUAAAAGCUACGAAAUUACCUAAUAUGAUUUACAUAUAUAUGACAAUUAAUGAUUAU